CCCGCCCGGGCGGUCUUCGGGACGGCCGCGGGAGAGGGUCUUCCUCCACUCCUGGAGGCUGGGGACCCCUCACUAGCUCCAGUCUAAUGGGAGUGGGAGUGGGUCCUCCCUCUUCUGCUGGAGACAAGGAGGCGGAGCUUGGACUGGCACCUGCCGGGCGGGCGGCUCGUCUCCCUCAAGAGGCGGGGCCACAUGGCGCUCCGCCCACUGCGAAGCCGUUGGCCUUACAAGGAAGUAGCUACCUGACCAGGCCAUCGAAGAGAUGAUAAGAAACCCCUCGGCACUUCAGCCAAACUGUCUCUCAAAGAACCAACAAACAGAAACUCCUCAAGACAACCAACCCCUGGCAUCUAUGUGACUUAAAAUAUGACCCCUCCCAAUAAAAGGCAACUCUCCUACCUUUUGUUGCUCAGUGCCACCUGGUAUUUGGCCCUUCCCUGUCUAUGGGGAAAGACAAAAUAAAGUUCCUUCCUUUUC